GGGGGGCUAGCUCAGCGGUAGAGCAGGGGACUUUUAAUCCCUUGGUCGAGGGUUCGAAUCCCUCGCCCCUCA
rnacentral:tRNA from 1 species